rnacentral:rRNA from 1 species
GGUUAAGUUAGAAAGGGCGCACGGUGGAUGCCUUGGCACUAGGAGCCGAUGAAGGACGGGACGAACACCGAUAUGCUUCGGGGAGCUGUAAGCAAGCUUUGAUCCGGAGAUUUCCGAAUGGGGAAACCCACUGCUCGUAAUGGAGCA